UUAAAGAUUAAAAUAGAGUUUACAAAUUAAAAAAUGUCAACACAAAGUAAACUUUAUACUUUGUGAGCUGAGCAGGUGGCCAGCUUGCCGCCCAGCUGCUCAGCCUGGCACCAAUGGCUUGUCCUGCACCAGUGCUUGGCAUGGGGUCAGGAGGACAGUUUGGGAAGAGUCUCCAGCAGACCGGCGUGCCUGGUCUCACAGAUGACUUCCCAACCCCGUGCCAAUGGGAAACCAACAGAGGCAAGUGGCCAGGGUGGAGAGCCUGGGAGGCAGAGCAGGUGGCCCUGGCACAGCAGGUCUGGCCCUGCUUCUCUUCACUGGCUGAUGUGCAGACAUUUAUUAGUAAAUCUUCACGGCGGUCUAGGGAGGGGUGGUCUUUGGCCGGAGGAAGAAAUGGCUUUGUUGCUCAGGAGAGCUUUGGGAAUGGAACUCAGGGGCUUCCAAAGAGCAGCAAUCAGGAAAACAAGCAGGGAGGAUCCAGGUUUUGCAAGGCCUGAAGCCUGCACACUAGGGAGCCCCAUGCUCUGUGAAGGAGAGAACAGUGAUAAGAAGAAGAUAAUGAUUCAGCAGCUUUGCAAACAUUGUUUGGUGAAUAAACAGCCCCGUUCAGUGCACCGGUUUCUUCCUCCCAUCAUGGGACAGGUGGAAUGUGAUCUGAGAUGCCAGCCUUGGUCAGCUGGAGGGUUGUUCAGCUGCCUCGUGACUCC
rnacentral:lncRNA from 1 species